ensembl:lncRNA novel transcript
UAAUGCUUCAGAUAGCAGAGGACCGACAGCUGUGACUUUAUUUGGUGAUGGAAUAAAUAAGAGUCUCACUGUGUCACCCAGGAUUGGCUCGCUGCAUCACCCAGGAUCGGCCCACUGCAACCUCCACCUUCCAGGUUCAAACGAUUCUUCUGCCUCUGCCUUUUGAGUAGCUGGGAUUACAGGCACGAGCCACCAUGCCCAGCUAAUUUUUGUAUUUUUAGUAGAGCCGGGCUUUCACCACGUUGGCCAGGCUGGUCUUGAACUCCCGAUCUCAGAUGAUCUACCAACCUUGGCCACCCAAAGUGCUGGGUUUACAGGUGUGAGCCACCAUGCCUGACCUCCAAUUUCAUGAACUUCUCAGGCCCUCUGUGCAUGCCAUGCUUAAUAAGGUAAUAAAAAGGUAAGAUUAUAAAGAAGGAAGAGGCCUAUCAAGGAAAGAAGGCUCUUUAUUUGCUUUGCUGUCAUGGUAUCCUUCCCAUUCCACUGGCUUCCAGCACAUAUGUGGAAACUUUUUGGGAAAGUUCCCCAAAACUUUGGGGAACUGUGUUCCCCUGAAGUUUGGAGGGUGAGGAGUGAAAGAGGUUGAGAAGAAUGAGCUGGCUGGGUUGGACAUUCAGAGGUGACAAUGGCCAGAUCAACCUUGAUGGAGUCUUGUUCUGUCACCAGGCUGGAGUGCAGUGGUGCGAUCUCAGCUCACUACAACCUCCACCUCCUGGGUUCAAGUGAAUCCCCUGCCUCAGCCUCCCUAGUAGCUGGGACUACAGGC